rnacentral:rRNA from 1 species
UACGUAGGGUGCAAGCGUUAAUCGGAAUUACUGGGCGUAAAGCGUGCGCAGGCGGUUUUGUAAGUCUGUCGUGAAAUCCCCGGGCUCAACCUGGGAAUGGCGAUGGUGACUGCAAGGCUAGAGUUUGGCAGAGGGGGGUAGAAUUCCACGUGUAGCAGUGAAAUGCGUAGAUAUGUGGAGGAGCACCGAUGGCGAAGGCAGCCCCCUGGGGCAAAACUGACGCUCAUGCACGAAAGCGUGGGGAGCAAACAGG